CAGGCCCUUUUCCUUCCCAGGAGCAGGACCUACAGGUCCCAAGCCCGGAGUGACCGUACAGCUGGAGCGAGGGGACGAGCCCUGGGUGCACAUGCAGAAUGCCAAGGGGAGAGUGCACAUGAGAGCCAGCCACUCAGGUGUGUGAGGGAAGCUGUUCCCAGCUUGGCCACUGAACCAGCAUUUGUUGGGGUUCAGGGUGUCUGGUUAAUGGGGAGAUGGAUCAGGGCUAGUUCAGUAGCUUGCACGGCCUCUGCUGGGGCCCUGGUCACCUCUGUCAGCUUGGGUGCCUUGGUGGGAAAUUCAAGCAGAAUCUUCUAGGUGGUGACAGUGUUGUGGAGCAGAGUAGGGACGGGCUUCCAGAUAGAGACAGGGAAGGUGCAUGGGUGCAGGCCAGGUGUCAGCUCUGACAAAUAAACUCUCGUGUGUAUCUCUGCCUGGUCUCUGUCUUUCAGCUCGCUGGCCUGCUCCCAGUUCCCUGCUUUCCUUUCACCAGGUAGCCUCUGUACCCUCAGCUCACUUUCUGUCUCUGAAUUUGCCUCUUAGAACCUCAUGCAAGGGGAGUCCUGUGAGAUGUGUUCCUGGAGCACAGUGUGGUCCAGGCUCCCCACCUUCAGCCUGACACGGGUCCCUUCCUUUUGCAGAUGAGUAAGAUUCCACUGGGUGGCUCUGCCGUGUCUCCCCUGCACCUCUCCCUCGCCUGCAGCUGGAACCUGGGUGUGGACGCUGAUGUCGAUGUCGUUGUAUGAUGUGUGUUGAGCCCCUGCUUUCAGUGCCUCUAGGUCAGAAUCUGGGUGGCACAGGAGUUGCACAGGUUCUGCCUUUCUUCACAUUCCCACCAGCAUGGGUACUAUUUUCUGCUUUUUCAUAGGAGGCAUCCUAAUAGGAGUGAAGUGAUAUUGUGUUUUUUUUUUUUUUUUAUUGGUUGUUCAAAACAUUAGAUACUGUGGUUUUGAUUUGCAUUUCCUUAAUGGCCAGUCAUGUUCAGCAUAUCUCCAGGUGUUUACUGACCAUUUGUGUAUUUUCUUUGGAGAAAUGUCUACUCAAGUCUUUUGACCAUUGUUUUAAAGAUUUUCUUUUAAGUUGUAGAUGGACACAAUUCCUUUAUUUUAUUUAAUUAUUUAUUUUUGUUUGGUGCUGGGGAUCGAACCCAGUGCUUCACACAUGCUGUGUGAGCAUUCUACCACUGAGCUAUAACCCUAGCCUCCCUUUGCCCAUUUUUUUUAAUUGAGUCUUUUUUUGCUGUUGAGUUGUAGUAGUUCUUCAUAUAUUUUGGAUAUUAGCCCCUUAUCAGAUAUAUGAUUUGAAAAUAUUUUUCUAUUUUGUCGACUAAUCUUUUCAUUCUCAUGAUAGUGUCCUAUAAUGCAAAAAAUUUUUGAUUCUGAUGAAGUCCAGUUUAUCUAAUUUUUCUUUUAUUCCCUGUGCAUUUAGGUAUCACAUGUAAGGAAUCAUUGCUAAGCACGAGUCAUUAAGUCUGCCUACCGUGUUUUCUUCUAAGGAAUUUAUAGUUUUAGAUCUUACGUUUUGGGACUUUGAUCUAUUUUGAGCUAAUUUUUUUAUAUGGCACAAGGUGAGUCCAAUGCCAUGCUUCUGUGUGUGAAUACCCAGUUUUCCCAGCAAUACUGCUCAAUAGAUUUUCCUUUCCAUGCUGCAUAGUGUAUUAGUCAGCUCGGCUGCCACAACAGAGUACCACAGACUGGAUGGCUUGAACAACAGACGUUUAUUUCUCAUAGUCAUGGAGGCUGAAGUCCAGUUGAAGGUGCCAGUUAGUUCCUGGUGAGGGCUCUCUUCCUGACUUGCAGAUGGCUACUUUCUUGCUGUGUCCUCACAGGGCAGAGAAAAAGAGAUCUCUAGUGUCCCUUCCUCUCAUAAAAGCAUCAGCCCUAGCUGGGCAUGGUGGUACACACCUGUAAUCCCAGCCAUUCAGGAGGCUGGGGCAGGGAUUCCAAGGUUGAGGCCAUCCUGGGUCACUCAGUGGGGCCUAGAAUUUUAGGGGGGAGUGCAUGCUGGAAUGGGUGUAGCUUAGUGUAGAGCACCCUGGGUUCAAUCCCUGUACCUGAGGGGGGAAAAAAAAAAGCAACAGCCCUAUUGGAUCAGGUCCACCCCUAUAAGCUCAUCUAAUUAAUCGUUACCACCUUCUCAGGGGCCAUAUUUCCAAGUACAGUUCCAGUGUGGUUAGGAUUUCAGGAUGUGAAUUUUGGGGACCUAUUUAGUCAUUGCUUAAAACCAAUUGAUCGUAUCUGUGAAAAUUCAGUUCUGGCCUCUUUUCUUCCACUCUCCACGCCUGUCCUUAUGCCACUGUGCCAUGACUGAAUGUGGCUCAUCUGCCUGAGGUUCAUAUGUGGGAGGCCUGGUAUGUAGUGAUGUCAAGGGGCUGCAUCUCUCAGAGCAAGUGGAGCCUGGGGAAAGAUGAUUAGGUCAGGAGUGAGGAGCCAUCCUCAGGAGGAAUCAUUGCAUGUUUCAGAGCCUAGAGUUCUCUUGAGAAUGAAAGUUAUGGGUGAUCAGAAGGCAUUAUGGGGGGCUGAGUCUGUAGCUCAGUAUUGGAGUGCUUGACUAGCAUGUGUGAGGCACUGGGUUUGAUCCUCGGCACCACAUAAAAAUAAAUAAAAUAAAGAUACAUCAAAAACUAAAAAAAGAAUAAAAAAGAAAGGUAUGAAAAUACAAUAACAUUAUUUUAAAAAGGUGUUAUCGCAAUAGGAAGUGAAUUAAAAAAGGAGAUUGGUACUGAGAAUGGGGUAUUUCCUAUAAAGGCACCUGAAAAUAUGGAAGGGACUUUGGAACUGGGUAAUGGGCACAGGGUGGAAGAGUUUGGAGGAACAGCCUAGUAAAAGCCUAGAAUGCUAUAAAUGGAGAAUUAUGGGUGAUUUUGGUGAAGACUUAGUAGAUAGGAAGCUAGAAAUUCUUGGAGAUUGGUGAAGAGUUUAUGACCAGAAUGCAGAUAGAAAUAAGAACAUCCUGCUGGGAACCAGAGUAAAGGCCACCCUUGUCAGGCCACUGUGAAGAUCUCACUGCACUGUGUCCAUGCCUGAGGGCUUUGUGGUGGACCAAAUCUAAGGAUGGUGAAAACUGAAGACACUUCUAAACCAAAAAUUUAGGCUGCUGCCUGGUUACUUUCAACUGCUUAUGCUCAGAUUCAGGGGCAAAGGGGAGCAGCGUGGGAAGAUCUGGAAAAUUCACAGAGUCAAUAAAUACACAGAGUAAGUAAAUCUCUUUUCUUUAUAAACUAUCCAACUUCAUGUAUUUUAUUAUAGUAACAAACACAAAAUGAACUAAGAGUACACCCACACUGUUUUCAUUAUUAUAACUUUGUAGAAAGUUUUAAAAUUAGGACGUAUGAAUCCUCCAAUUUGUUCUUCUUUUUCAAGAUUGUUUUGGCUAUUUGGGGUCCCUUGAUGUUCCACAUGAAAUAUAGAAUGGGUUUUUUUGAAUCUGCAAAAAAUUUCAGGGUAGGUUUAUCACCUUAACAAUAUUAAGUCUUCCAAUCUAUGAGCACACGAUAUGUUUCCAUUUAUUUAUGUUUUUUUCAACUUACUGUGAUGUUUUGUAGCUUUCAAUGUAUGAAUCUUUUUAAAAAAUAUUUAUUUUUUAGUUUUUUAGGUGGACACAAUAUCUUUAUUUUAUAUUUAUGUGGUGCUGAGGAUCGAAUCCAGUGCCUUGUGCAUGCUAGGCAAGCGUCCUACCACUGCGCCACAACCCCAGCCUCUCAAUGUAUGAAUCUUUUGCCUCUUGAUUUAUUCCUUUCAAUGCUACUAUGAAUGAAAUUGUUUUUUUUCCUUUCCUUUUUAGUUGUUUAUCAAUACUAAAUGGAAACAAUUGUGUCUUGACUAAAAAAAUUUUUUUUGCAAUUGUAGAUGGACAGAAUGCCUUUAUUUUUAAAUUUUUAUGUGGUGCUGAGGAUCAAACCCAGUGCCUCAUGCAUGCUAGUCAAGCGCUCUGCCACUGAGCCCCAGCCCCAGCCCUGUGUUUUGACUUUGUGUCCCACAACUUGGCUGAAUUCAUUUGUUAGCUCUUAUGUACUAUUUUUGUGCAGUCCUCAGAGUUCUUGCCAGCUCUGGGCUGAGGUAUAAUUUUACUUCUAUUCCACUCCAGUUUGGAUGCCUAAUGCUUCCUUUUCUUGCCUGACUUCUCUAGUUAGAACUUCCAAUAUUAUGUUUAAUCGAAGUGGCCAAAGUGGGCAUCCUAACCUUGUUGCUGAUCUCAAGGCUGCUAGCUUUCCCUGUUAUGUAUAGUGUUAGGUUCUUCAUGUACACCCUUCCUCAACAUAGACAAAGUCACCUUCUAAUCCUAGAUUAUUGAGUGUUUUUAUCAUGAAACAGUGUUAAAUUCUGUGAAAUGCUUUUCUGUAUCAGUGAUAUUGUAAGUGGGUUUUCUUUAUUAAUACAGUGUGAUGAUCAUACAAAAUAAUCUUCAUAUGUUGUUGCCAUAUUUCAUUCCAGGAACAGAUCACACUUGGUCAUGGUUUAUAAUCCUUUAAAUAUACUUUUGAAUCUUACUAGGUGUUCCCUCUUUUUUAAAAAAUAUUUAAAAAAAAAUUUUUGAAGAAAUAAUAGUCCCAUACUUCUAAAAAUAUUUUUUAGUUGUAGAUAGACACAAUACCUUUAUUUACCUAUUUUUAUGUGGUACUAAGAAUCAAACCCAGUGCCUCUUAUAUGUGAGGCAAGCAAUCUGCCACUGAGCCACAAUCUCAGCCCACCCCAACCCUUUUUGUUUUGAGACAGGGUCUGGCUAAGUUUACCAGACUGGCCCUGAACUUGAACCCUCCUGCCUCAGCCUCCUGAAUUGAUGGAAUCAAAGCAGGUACCACCACACCAGGGUUGGGAGGUUUUUGAUUACUGUUACAAUCUUUUUACCAGUUAUGGCUUAUUUUGGGGGGUGGGGUGGGGGUACCAUGGAUUGAACUCAGGAGCACCUGACCACUGAACCACAUUCCCAGCCAUAUUUUGUAUUUUAUUUAGAGACAGGAUCUCACUGAGUGCCUAACACCUUGCUUUUGCUGAGGCUGGCUUUGAACUCAUGAUUCUCUUGUCUCAUCCUCCUAAGCCACUCAGAUUACAGGCAUGCACUACCACACCUGGUUCAGUUAUGUCUGUUCACAUUUUUCUAUUUUUUUCUUAGUGGUUACUUUGGGGUUUAUAACCAACUUCUUAAGCUUAGAAUAACCUAGUUUUGUUGACAUCAGCUUAAUUUUAAAAGUAUGAAUUUAAAAGUGUUCAUACUUUUAUAAACACCCAUCCUUACCUCUUUGUAUUGUCAAAGUUCACAUCUUUAUAUGUCAGAUGCUCAUUAACACAGAUUUAUAGAUUUUUCUAAAUGUCUUUGUUUAGUGAAUCAGAUUAAAAAAAGGAAGUACAAACCAUACCAAAAGUGCAGGGAUGUUGGCUUUUACAUUUACCUAUGUAGUUACCUUUACCAUUUUUUUUUUUAAUUUCUCACAGCUUUGGGUUGUCUGUAAUGUCCUUUCAUGCUGUGGUUCUGAUCAACUAGUUGCCGGCUACCUUGUCGCAGGGGGUGGGGGGUGGGGGGUUGCUGGUGAGAGAACUGGCUGGAGACCCACCUCAGGUCGUUGUCCAGUAGCUCAGUUUAUUUUUGGAAUGCAUAUAAUUGUUAUAGGGUCCCAGUGGGGCGUGCCCAUCAAUCAUUCACAAGCAAGAUAGUAUCCAUAAGCCAAUCAUCCUAUGCCUAAUGUAACCACAUUAUGAGGAUGUUCUAAAUAUUGCUAUCAUCAGGAAGGGUCUUUGUCCCUAGGGGAGGGGGUUUCUAAGUUAGAAGUUCCAUUCCUGAAGCUCCUGGCUGUCAGUUUCCUGGCCUGGCAGCUUGGCAACGCUAACCACAAGUGCUAAGGAUGUGGUUUCACUGGCGGCUCGCUAGAGCAGAGCAUCCCAUCCUGCUCCUGUCAGGCCUGAACAAGUGCAGGUUCUUCAAGCACUCAGAGCUGCUCAGAGCUGCUGGCUGCUAGCUGUAAACGGAAAGUCUCCCUUCAGAUUUCAUGUGAAGCAGAGCUACUGGUAAUGGGUUCCCUCAAAUGUUCUUUAUCUAGACAUGUCUUGAUUUCCCCUUCAUUCCUGAAGGGUAGUUUUUGCUGGAUAUAAAAUUCUUGGUUUACUUUUUUUUUUUUUUUUUCAUUUCAGGCCUGCAAAUAUGUCAUCCACUGCCUCUGGUCUCCAUAGUUUCCCAGAAAUCUGCUGAGCCUCAUGUGUUCGGUUCCUUACUGGUAUCUUCAGAAUUUGAGUUUCAACAAUUUGACUAUAAUAUGUCUCUGUGGAUUUGAAUUUUUUCCAUUUGGAAUUUCUUGAGUUUUUUGGAUUUGUAUAUUCAAAUCUAUCUUCCCACAGAUUUUAGAAGUUUGAGACUAUUAUUUCUUCAAAUAUCUUUUUCUCCUCCUUCUCUCUUUUCCUUUUGAGAAUAUUAUAACGUGUAUGUUGGCACAUAUGACGCUAUCCCACAGGUCUCUUGGGGUCUGUUUUUAUUUUUUUCCCAGACUGAUGUCAAUGGUCCGAUCUUCUAGUUUGCUGAUCUUUCUUCUGCCUCCUUGUAUCUGCUGUUGAACCCCUCAUGUGAGUUUUUCACUUCAGUUAUUGACUUUCCAGUUCCAGAAUUUUUUUUUAAUAAUUUUCUUUUUUAAAAUUUUUAAAAAAAUCUUUAUUGGUAUUUUCAUUUUGUUCAUACAUAAUUUUCUUGAUUUCCUUUAGUUCUUUGUCCAUGAUUUCCUUUAAUUCACCAAACAUACAUAAGACAGUUGUUUUAACUUUUUUGAGGUGGGUACAGAGGAUCAAACCCAGAGUCUUGCAUAUGGUAGGCACAAGCUCUACCACUGAACUAUGUCUCCAUCAUUUAUUUAACAUAUUUGACUAAUAAUUCCAGUGUCUGGGCUUCCUCUUUCUGUCAAAUUUUAUUUUUUCCUGUGAAUGGAUCAUACUUUCCUGUUUCUUUGUAUGUUCUGUCAUUUUUUGUUGAGCAGUGGCUAUUUUGAGUUGAGCAGCAGGUAUUGUUGUGGUUACUCUGGAAUUCUAAGACUCUCCUCAGUGAUUGCCAAAUCUUGCUUGUUGAGGGCUUGAGCCAUCUAUUUGUGACUUUCCCAAACUAUUCUUGCAUUGUGUACUUUUUUGAUGUGUGUGGGCACCGAUGUUUCAGUUCCAUUAUUUGUGUGGUCAGUCAGUAACAUGAAAAAUCUUUCCUUAUAUGUCUAAAUCCCCCAAAGGGAAACAACACAAGUAUUGUCUCUUUUUUAAAAAAAAAAAUUUAGUUGCAGUUUAUUUAGUUAUUGUUUUUAGGGGGUGUUGGGGGACUGAACCCAGGGCCUCACAUGUGCUAGGCAAGUGCUUUACCAUGAAGCCAUAACCCCAGACCCAAGUAUUGUCUCUUUAAUUCCUCUGGAAACUGCUUUGCUGACCCAUGAUGAUCAAAAUUAUAGUAGCUAGCCUCUGUGCCAGUUCUUUAGUAAUCAAGAGCAGCAAUCAACCAUCAAAACACACAGCCCCGGUAUUUGGAACAUCCUUAGUGCACACCAUUCACAGUUCAUGCCAUGGGGCUAGGGAAUGGUGCCCUGGCAAGGACUACAGGAAUGUUGAAAUCUGUUGAAACUUACCACCUGCCUCUUCAAGCUCUUCCUGGAUGCUACCAGCAUCUAACCAGACCGACUAGCUUGACUGACUAGCUUUCAGGUUACUUCUAACAGUCCCUGUCAGCUUGGUAGUUGUAGAGGUGGAAGGAUAGAUUCCCGAGUUUCCUACUUAGCUGUCUUCCAUGACAUCACUCUGAUAGUUUACUUUAUGAUAGCAACAAUCUUUCUAUCCAGACAGGGACAUGUUUUAAUUUAUAAAAUGUUAUCACUUGGCCACACCAUGAAGCUCUUUAUGAUGAGGUCUUCAUAACCCUCUUGUGAGCUGAACAUAUCAUAAGCUGAAAAUGUGUCUGAUACCCAACGUAACAUUGUAGCUCUAUACCUCUGUACACUGGGAUAGCAUGGCUGCAAGGAAGCCACUGCUUGCUGUAGCCCGGCACCACCGUAGAGGCUCACAGAAUGUACCACAGGCCUGGGAAACUCAACAUAGAAUCUCUGCUGAAUGCAUGUCACUUCCAUGCCAUUAUAAAGUUGAAAAGUCCUAAAUAAAAAAAAAAAUUUAUUGGGGAUUGAACCCAGGGGCACUCAACCGCUAAGCCACAUCCCCAGCCCUUUUUAUUUUUUGAGACAGGGUUUCACUAAGUUGCUGAGGCUGGCCUUGAACUUGUGAUCCUUCAGCUACAGCACCGCCGCCACCCCCCCACCCCAUCCACCCUGUGUUGAAUAUUAAGUUGGGGACUAUCUGUAUACUAUUUCACAGUGAGUAAUUCUAGGGUUUUAAUUAUUUUUUUAAGUUAUGUCCUUAGGAUAUAUUCCUAAGGAUGGGAUAAACUUCUUAAAGGACACUGAUGUUCAUCCUAUGCUUUCCAGAGCAGUUGCACCAACACAUCACGUCACCAGCACAAACUUAUUAAGUUCUUUACCUGCCUACCAGGACACAAAGGCAGAAGAGUGUGCACAGUCCAGCUGCCACACAGCCCCCUGCACUGGACAUUGUCACCUCUGAUGAGGGUGCAGGCAUGCUUCUGUGACGGGCACUGCAUUUCACUUCUGCUGCCACUACCAAAACUCAAAACCAGGAGAAUAUCAGCUUUCAAGGUGAGUUCUGAGUCUUCAUUGCAAAUUUAUUGAACCUGAGGGUGAUUUGGGGGAUAAUCAAACCUGCAACUACUCCUCUCAGGGAGGGCAGCCUUGAGACCCAUGAACUUCACAUCACCUCACCUGAGUUUCCCAGCUUGGGAACUUGUAAGCCUGAAAUCUAAAAUGCCCCCCACAUUUGCCCAGGUAGGAAGGAGCCCUCCUAUGUGUGUGCUGCUCUCACUUCUGCCCCAGGCAAGACCCUCCUGGCUUCCACCAUUGGUCCUUCUGUGCAGCCUUUCUACCGAGUGCCCCUCUUCCUUAGGGUUGACCAGCACCUGCCAAGCCGAGUCCUGGUGUGUUGUCAUCGUUCUUCAAAGAAAGGAUGAGUUACACCAUUGUUUCCUCACAACUGACAGAAGCUGGGUAUGGCUGUGGCCCAGAGAUACUCCAGAAAAAAACAGUAUGUGUAACUGCCAGACUUCUGUUAAAAAAAAGAAAAAAAUGUGGUCGUAUAUGGACAGCAUGCCUUUAUUUUUAUGUGGUGCUAAGGAUCCAACCCAGUGCCUCCCACAUGCUAGGUAAGCACUCUGCCACUGAGCUGCAGCCCCAGCCCAAGACUUAUUUAAUGAAGUCUGCAUGUUUCUUGGGAGGUGUUUCAUUUUUUCAAAUUUUUUUUAGUUGUAGAUGGACUCACAAUAUCUUUAUUAAUUUAUUUGUUAUGUGGUUCUGAGGAUCGAACCAGUGCCUCACACAUGCUAGGCAAGUGCUAUGCCACAGAACUAUAGCUCCAGUCCUAGAGUUUCAUUUUAAUGGUAAUGUCAUCAGCAAAAGCAUGGAGGCACCUUUUCCACCUCUGCAUCUCGGGGGACUGGAUGAGCCUCCCUGAGUGGGAGGCCACGACAUGUUCCACUUCCUUGGCAUAGUGGACCUCUUCCAGACUUCCCAGUUUUUCCUGGUUUGGAGCUGCCUGCUUGUGUCCUGUGGUCACUGAAGCGCCGAUCUUUGUGUCAACAUUAUUGAGCUUUCUUCACCCAAAUACUUGUUAUAAUCAUUGUUUUUUUUUUAAACUGGAAUAUGUCAGAUUGUAUACAGUACACAGAAUUAAAUUUCAGGAGGACCGUGAUUUUUUUUAAUAACUUUUAUUUAUUUAUGUUUAUGUGGUGCUGAGGAUCAAACCCAGGGCCUUGCACAUGCAAGGUGAGCGCUCUACCGCCAAGCCAUAACCCCAGCCCCCAUGAUAUUUUUUAAUGAUAGAAAAUUUGAAAAGUAUUAAAUAGCAAAUUCUUGGUAGCCAAUAAGGAGAAUUAAUAAAGAUUUAAAUGCAUUAAUAUAAAGAUUUAAAUGCAUAAACUGUAAAGAUUUCUGAGCAUACACACAUACAAAUUCAAAAUAAAAGUGGAAUGGUACUGAAAAAUGACAAGUAGUUGGGCAGGUAAAGCCCAAGAGGUAGGUCACCACUACUUGAAGGGAGCCCAAGCUCAUUGUGGCCUCUGACCUCAUGUUCCCCAAAGGCAGCUGCCCAUGUGUUCCAGGUGGCCAUGAGGUGAAUGGCAAGAACACAGAGCUGGAAUCCCCUCCACGAGGGGCACUGAUGUCCACUUCCCAGCUCCACGGACACCUGAACCUGCACCUGGGUGCAUCAAAGGUGGCCUGCCAACAAGAAUAGGAGAUGGAUGCUGAGCAUGCUUCAUCUGAGAAUGCAGGAAAGCAAACUAGGUUUUAGAAAGGUCUCCCUGGAAACCUAGGCUACUGGAGAACUGAGCUAUCCAGCACUCUGUACCCUGUGACUUCAGUUGUCCUGGGAUACAGCCUUUGUUUCUCUUUCUUUUCUUCUUUUUUUCAUAUAGUCUUUCUACACAAAUCUUUGUACUGAAUUCAAUCGAGCUCCUAUUCUCAUCCUGAUUGGCACAUGACUGUGCUCUGCUUUUCUGCAUGAUCAGCAAUUGUGGCUUGAGUAGUGGUGGGCUCCAACCUGCAGCCACAGAGACCCCAGCUGCAGAGUCCCCUUGUGAGGGCUGGCAGCCUCCCUCCUCCCUCCACUAAGGUCUUACACCCUUAGUAGCCUCAGCUCCUUUUCAGAGGAGACUCUGAAGUGUCCCUUUGUGAGGGCAGCUUUGUGAAGUUUGACCGCGUUCACCUCAGCCUCUGAAGACUUCAUCUUGGCCCCAGGUCACACUUCAGUGAGUUCAGUUCUUCUCUGAAGUAACAACUCAUCGAUUCCAGCUUCUCUGUCAUCUCUUCCGAAAAACAUCAGUGAUCUCACCUCCUCUAGGAAGCAGUGCCCAGUGGCCUCCACUCUGUUGGCUCCCUUCAGUGACCUGAGCCCUCUGGAGAAUUCAUCUCAGUGCUCCCAACUCUGGAUUUUCAGCCUCACUGAAGUGACACCACAGUGGCCUCCUUUCCUUUCUGCAGUAAGGCGCAGACCUUGGCUCUCCUCACUGAGACACUUAGUGUUGCUCUUCUCUGCCACCCUUCUGUGAUCAGCUCCUCCUCAAGCAGCGGCUCAGCUGUACCGCAGCUCCCUGCUCAAGCCAAGGCCUCAGGGACGGGCCAUUCUUACCGAGCUCUUGUCACGUGUAACGCUGAGGACCAGCACCCCAGUGCUUCUCUCUUCUCCCCAGAGGAAGAAGGAAACACCUCCACCAGGCACUGACACAUUUACGUUUGACCUUUGUUUUAUUUGCAGGUAGAUACUACUAGAAAUGGCUCUGAUAUAAACUCAGAUGUAAGAACCAUACCCUUAAAAACUGAGCAAAUAAUUCUGAACAAAUUCAAAUUUUUAAUUAUGAAUAAACCAAAUUUAUCACAGGCAAUGAAUAGUAGACUGUCUUAAGCCAGGAGUUAAACAACAACAACAACAAACCCCAAACAACUGGAGUACAAGAAUGGACUAUUAGAGCUAGUAAAAAAGAGUGAGAAUUAAAAAAAAAAAAAAUGCACUGCUGGGUGUGGUGGUGUACCACAGGAGGCUGAGGCCCCAAGCAGCUCAGCAAGACUAUCUCACAAUAAAAAAUAAAAUGGGAUGGGGAUGCAGCUCAGGGGUCCAGUGCCCCUGGGUUCAAUCCUGGUACCAACAAAACAAAACAACGCGCAACAAGGAAUCAUCUUUUUAGCAAUAUUUUCUUGCUUGGGACCUAACUGGCCCCAGAGAUCCAGAAUCUCUGGCAUGCAGAGUCUAUAGGUCUUAAGGAAAACAACCAUGUUUUAGUUGCAUUUUUACUCAAGUGGCAGGACAUUCCUUCUGGUCUUGGAUAAGUUAAAGCACCAGAUAAAAGAGUUUUUUUUUUUUUUAAUUUACAUAAUUUCUAAUGAACACAUCUUUAGACUUCUUUUUCUUUUCAUACAAACAGGUAUUUGCACAGUUACAAUUUUCAGCGAUGUCAUGUGAUCCUUGAUGUCGUAUAUCAAUUUAUCCACACAGCACUUCUGUGUUUCAAGAGAAUACGAAAACAGUCCAGUGUUCUAAGUUUCACAGCUAACUGGCUAACUGUUUAGGAAAGGCAUGCAUUCUCAGAAGAGAAAGAACCUCACUGGGAACAUAAGGGAGUAUUUUGGGACAAGUCCUUUUACUUUAACUUCCUUUAGUUACUCCUGUCAAAUGAAUUAUCUAAUGUUGAAGAAACAAGGAAUUAUGGCUAUUGUUACCCAAACUUCAUUAUGAUGGCAGGUCACUCUUCAAUACAGCUUCAGGAUGUUGAGGAAAACAAAACAUAUGCUCUGCAGCUUUUCCACAGGAAGAACAUGCCCAGUGCUUCUCCCUGCAAUUAUUUUGUGGCACUGAAACCCGAGGGAGGGUAGUGAGGCUGCCUCCUGCAGCCACCAGGCCCCAGGCUCACAGCUUCCCGUGCACCUUCUGGUGCUGGAUCAGGUGGCCGUGUUGGUUGAAGGCACGUCCGCACUCCCCACACUCAUAGGGCUUCUCCCCUGUAUGGAUCCGCUGGUGCUGGAUGAGCACCGAGUACUGGCUGAAGGCCUUGCCGCAGCUGCUGCACUCAUAGGGCUUCUCGCCAGUGUGGGUCCGCAGGUGCACGAUCAGGGUGGCCUUAAGGCUGAAGGCCUUGCUGCACUCUGUGCACUGGAAGGGCUUCUCUCCCGUGUGGAUCCUCUCAUGCUGGAUCAGAGAGCGACGUGCGCUAAAGGCAUGCCCACACUCUCCACACACAUAGGGCUUCUCCCCGGUGUGGACCCUCUGGUGCUGGAUCAGGUGGGAGUGCUGCACGAAGGCCUUGCCACACUCGUAGCAAGCAUAGGGCUUUUCCUCUGAGUGGAUCCGCUCAUGGUUCAUGAGGGUGGAGCGGUGGCUGAAGGCCUUGCCACACUCGCCACACUCGUAGGGCUUCUCUCCUGUGUGCACAUUGUGGUGCUGGAUGAGGACUGAGCGGUCGCUGAAGGCCUUCCCACACUCACUGCACGUGUAGGGCUUCUCCCCUGUGUGCACCCGCUGGUGCUGCAGCAGCGUCCUCUUUACGCUAAAGGUCUUCCCGCACUCGCUGCACUGGUGAGGCUUCUCCCCAGUGUGUACCCUCUGGUGGCUCCGCAGCACAGUGCUGUGGUUGAAGGCCUUCCCACAUAGUGGGCACACAUAGGGCCUCUCCCCUGUGUGGAUCCGCUGGUGCUGGAUGAGGUGCGAGAGCUGGGUGAAGGCCUUCCGACACUCGGCACACUCGUGAGGUUUCUCUCCUGUGUGAAUCUUGUGGUGCUGAGCAAGGUCCGAGCUCACUCGGAAGGCUUUUCCACACUCGUUACACUCAUAGGGUUUUUCGCCAGUGUGGAUUCUCCUGUGUUUACUGAGGACUGAGCUUUGGCUGAAGGCCUUCCCGCACACACUGCACACAUAUGGCUUCUCACCCGUGUGGAUUCGCUGGUGUUGAAGAAGAUGGGAGCUCCGCCCAAAGCACUUCCCACACUCGAUGCACAUGUAGGGCCUCUCUCCACUGGGAGCUUCUGGGUGUGGAGUCAGUGGCCUGCUCCUAUUCGAGACCCGAGCCUCGCCAGGGACGACAGGGCUUGCAUGCAGGCAGAAGCUCUGCUCUGGGUUAUAAUGUUCUUGAACGAUGCUCCCUGAAGAUGCUUUCCCCAGAUGCACUGUUACCUCAUCUGAAAUUAUCGGCUUUAAGGGCCAAUCUGUAUUUUGGUUCUCUUCCUUGGUUUUGCAUUCUGA
rnacentral:lncRNA from 1 species